AAGGAACAAAGAAAAGAAAGAACAGAGACAUUCGAAACAGAGCAGGAAGAAAAGGGGAAAGAAAAGAAAAAGGAAAAACUAAAAGUUUAAGGUUUAAAGCUUUGAUUGGUAAGUCAUUUAAGUCCUUUCUAUUUAAUUUUGAUGUUUUAGAAGUCUUAAAACAAGGUUUUGAUGAAAUUAAUUUGAUAGUUUGAAAGUUUAAAAGCUUUUAAACAAAGUUCAUGUUGAAGAAAAAGAAGAAUUAGGGAUUUAAUUGAAUGAAUUUUAAGUUAGAAAUUGAAAAAGGGAUUAAAUUGUAAAAGAAGCUAUAAGUUUUGUGUUUUAGGAAAUUAAAUUGAAAGAAUUUUUAAAUUAGGGUUUUAUAAUGAACAUUAGAUUGUUAGGGUGAACAUGGAAGGAAAUUGAGUAGAAAUGAAGUAUAAAUUAAGUUAAACAAAUAAAAGAGUUAAUUAGGAUUAAAUGAGAAUUAGGGAAUAAAUUGAAUAAAAAUUCAAUUAAUUAUUAAAUUAAUGUUGUAAUUAAUAAUGUAAAUUGUUAUUAUUUUUUUUCGUAGCUAACAAAAAAAACGAGGCAUCGGCAUCUAAAGGAAAAGAAAAGAUCGUUGAGGAGUAAACUCGUAUUCCGGGUUUGUAUUACUAUAACUCAAACUAUUUAUUAAAUGUAUAUUGAAUUUAUAGAUAUGGAAUAAUUAAGAUAAGGUAACUAUUAUAUUUAAAUUUAAAUAUAAGUAUGUGUGAAAAUUAAUUUGUAUAUGAAUUAAGAUAAUAGAUAUUAGAAUUGAUUGAGUAUUGAAAAUUUUUGUGUAAAUGAAAUUGAAAUUAGAAAAGUAAAAUAAUACCCUAUUAACUUGUCGGACUAGAUUUGAUACAAAUGGCAUGCCAUUGGAUUUGUGAUGUGAUGAGGAGAUUGUAGUUUGGCCGAGAAGAUGUUUCUAUUAUUAUAUACUUCGGUUUAUUCGAAUAGGCAAUUAAUGCAUUACUGGUGUGUUAUGGAGGAUUUAUAAUAUUCCGGGUGUGUUUGGGUUGGUUAUUCUAGUGUGUUUGGGUGGAAUCCGUGUAUCUGUCAAAGUCCGAGCCUUGUUAAUUUAGGGUAAAUAAUUGAAAUGAAAUUUUGAAAAUGAGAUAUUUGUUUUGGCACUAUUGAAAAGUAUGAGAAAGAAUGUAUGAACUAACUUAUGAACUUGAGUUGGUAUGAGAAAAAAACCUGCCUUCUGAUUUAAGAUUUAUGAAGUAAUAUAAUUAUAUACUAUCCCUAGUUUUAAAAAAUAAUAAUAAUAAAUUUAUGGUUGAUGUUUGUAAUUUAUUAAUGUUAAAUAAUCUUGAUUUAUAGUAAUACUACUGAGUAUGAAAUACUCAGCAUACGGUUGUUUCAGUGCGCAGGUCAUUAGAGUUUCGGAUCCGGUCUAGAAUCCAAAACAAACCCGACUCCAACAAAAAGAUUUUGGUGAUGUAUUUCUUCCUUUGUUAAGUGGCAUGUACUAGGUAG
rnacentral:lncRNA from 1 species